rnacentral:rRNA from 1 species
UACGGGGGGUGCAAGCGUUACUCGGAAUCACUGGGCGUAAAGGGAGCGUAGGCGUUCUAUUAAGUCUUGAGUGAAAGCCCGCAGCCCAACUGCGGAACUGCUCAGGAAACUGAUAGAAUUGAGUAUGGAAGAGGUAGGUGGAAUUUCCAGUGUAGGGGUAAAAUCCGUAGAUAUUGGAAGGAAUACCAGAAGCGAAGGCGACCUACUGGGACAUUACUGACGCUGAGGCUCGAAAGCGUGGGGAGCAAACAGG